rnacentral:rRNA from 1 species
AUGGCGACCGUCAUGCAGAAGAUCAAGGACAUCGAGGACGAGAUGUCAAAGACGCAGAAAAACAAAGCCACUGCACACCAUCUUGGUCUUCUGAAGGCUAAACUUGCAAAAUUACGGCGAGAGUUGCUCACUCCUACAACCAAAGGUGGUGGUGGUGCUGGUGAGGGGUUUGACGUGACGAAAAGUGGAGAUGCACGUGUUGGUUUGGUGGGCUUUCCUUCGGUUGGGAAAUCAACAUUGUUGAACAAGCUGACGGGAACUUUUUCAGAGGUUGCGUCCUAUGAGUUUACAACUUUAACAUGUAUUCCUGGAGUUAUUAUGUACAAAGGAGCUAAAGUACAGCUUCUAGAUCUUCCGGGAAUCAUUGAAGGUGCUAAAGAUGGAAAGGGUAGAGGGAGGCAGGUCAUCAGUACAGCCAGGACAUGUAAUGUCAUUCUGAUUGUUCUUGACGCCAUAAAACCAAUAACUCACAAACGUCUCAUUGAGAAAGAGCUUGAGGGAUUUGGCAUCCGGUUGAACAAGACACCUCCCAAUAUGACAUUCAGGAGAAAGGAAAAGGGUGGCAUCAAUUUUACAUCAACAGUAGCGAACACACACUUGGACCUUGACACAGUAAAAGCAAUCUGUAGUGAGUACAGGAUUCAUAAUGCUGAUGUCUCCCUGAGAUUUGAUGCAACAGCAGAUGACCUUAUAGAUGUCAUUGAGGGAAGUAGAAUCUACAUGCCUUGCAUCUAUGUCGUCAACAAAAUCGACCAGAUCACAGUUGAAGAGCUGGAUAUCUUGGACAAACUUCCCCAUUACUGCCCAAUUAGUGCACAUCUGGAAUGGAACCUUGAUGGGCUUCUAGAGAUGGUCUGGGAAUACCUAGAUUUGUGCAGGCUAUACACAAAACCCAAAGGGCUGAACCCAGACUAUGAGGAUCCUGUGAUCUUAUCAUCCAAGAGGAAAACAGUGGAAGACUUCUGCAACCAAAUCCACAAGGACAUGGCGAAACAGUUUAAAUAUGCACUGGUGUGGGGUUCUAGUGUGAAGCAUAAGCCUCAGAGAGUCGGCAAGGAGCAUGAGCUUGAGGACGAGGACGUUGUUCAGAUCAUUAAGAAAAUAUAA